GACGAACGCUGGCGGCGUGCUUAACACAUGCAAGUCGAACGCUGACGCUUGGUGCUUGCACUGGGUGGAUGAGUGGCGAACGGGUGAUUAAUACGUGAGUAACCUGCCCUUGACUCUGGGAUAAGCCUGGGAAACUGGGUCUACUACUGGAUACGACAUGCCACUGCAUUGUGCUGUGUGGAAAGGGUUUUGUUGGUUUUGGAUGAGCCCACGUCCUCUCAGCUUGUUGGUAGGGUAAUGGCCUACCAAGGCCACGAUGGGUAGCUGGCCGGGUAGCGUGACACGCUAGAACUGAGACAAGGCACAGACUCCAACGGGAGGCAACGGAGGGGAAUAGUGCAUAAUGGGAGGAGGCAAGAUGCAGCGAAGCCGCGUGGGGGAUGUCAGCCUGCGGGUUGUGAACUAAUUUCAGCUUGGAAGAAGCGAGAGUGACGGUACCUGCAGAAGAAGCUCCGGCUAACUACGUG
rnacentral:rRNA from 1 species